UGGGGAAUAUUGCACAAUGGGCGCAAGCCUGAUGCAGCCAUGCCGCGUGUGUGAAGAAGGCCUUCGGGUUGUAAAGCACUUUCAGCGAGGAGGAAGGUGGUGGACUUAAUACGUUCAUCAAUUGACGUUACUCGCAGAAGAAGCACCGGCUAACUCCGUGCCAGCAGCCGCGGUAAUACGGAGGGUGCAAGCGUUAAUCGGAAUUACUGGGCGUAAAGCGCACGCAGGCGGUUUGUUAAGUCAGAUGUGAAAUCCCCCGGGCUCAACCUGGGAACUGCAUUUGAAACUGGCAAGCUAGAGUCUCGUAGAGGGGGGUAGAAUUCCAGGUGUAGCGGUGAAAUGCGUAGAGAUCUGGAGGAAUACCGGUGGCGAAGGCGGCCCCCUGGACGAAGACUGACGCUCAGGUGCGAAAAGCGUGGGGAGCAAAACAGGAUUAGAUACCCUGGUAGUCCACGCUGUAAAACGAUGUCGAUUUUGGAGGUUGUGCCCUUGAGGCGUGGCUUCCGGAGCUAACGCGUUAAAUCGACCGCCUGGGGAGUACGGCCGCAAGGUU
rnacentral:rRNA from 1 species